rnacentral:lncRNA from 1 species
GAGGCGCCGCAAGCCUUCACGCCCCUCGGGCCUUGCAGAUCCCUCUCCCAGUUUCCGCGGCGGUCCGGUGCGGUCAGUACCUGUCUAAAAUCAAUAUUGCCGAGGCCUCCGCAGCAGUCAGGCCCUGCCACCGAGCUGUUCGUUACCUCGGCUCCCGGGUUCCCAGAUCUCUUCAUCCGGGGGCCGCCUCAGGAGGCACCACGCGGGCCCCGCUGCAGCCACGCGCCCCCGGAACCGGACCUAUAGAGCCGGGUAAGUGCCGCCAGUCGGGGCGCUUUCCCGGUGACCCCCAACAUAUUCCGGCCUUCUGGGAAAUGUAGUUCCCCGUCACCGCGAAGUGCCUCUUUAUCUGGGGGCUCGCGACAGCGUCUAGAGGAGCCGAGAACUACAAGUCCCAGUGUGUUUCGCCGCAGAGCCUGCCGGUUCCGCUGCAGCUACGUAGCAGUAUCCCCUUGGAUCCGGCCUCCCGCCCAGUGCCUUUGGUCGCCGGCUGCCGCACCCGAGCCUGUAACUGACCUGGCGUCCCUGCCCUUGCCUGGCGGCGGUGGGGCUAGAGGCCGGGGGCCGCGGGUCGUAGCUAUAAGCAGCUUCCCGCGCAGCCUCCUGCGGACUUGGACUUGGCCCGGGUCACACACGCCCAGGGCCCCACACGCCCAGGGCCCCACGCCCUCUUCUGAAAUUCGCUUUACUCUGGGGGCGGUGCGCGACGAGCACUGCCUAGAGCUUCCCGCCCCCGCGGCGCCCAGGCUCUUUAGCUCGGCCAAAGACCCCUCCUCCACUCAUUUUUUCCUUCAUUCAUUCUCUCAUUCACUCUCGAGUAUUUUCUGAACCAGACUGUGCGCUGAGGGUACGGUAGGGAACAACACAGAGUCCCCCGCCCUCGCUUCCUCCUGACUGAGAUAAAAGACAAAAUGUGAAUAAAGGGUUAUAAUAUGGAUGAGUACUGUGGUGGAAAAAACGGGGUGGGU